GGGCUUGUGAUGAUUAAGGUCUGAAAGGAUCUUAGCGAAUUUCUGUGGCAAUUUUGUCGUCGUUGAUCGCUUAAUGUUGUUACAGACACGGAAUCCU
rnacentral:snoRNA from 1 species